CAGAUGAAUUCAGACGCUGCGGCGGCUGCACGGGGCCUGCACCAGGUCGGGCAUAUGCAUUAUGGCCUCCAGCACAGCAUUGCAGAUUCCUGUUGAGUGAUCUCAGAAGCUGGACCCAAGAUGCGCACAGGGUCUGCUGCAUUAAUUAAUUAAUCUCAGUGGGAGCUCUCAGCCUUCAGCUUGUCCCUAAGCCAAUGCAGAAUGGCCUUGCUGGAAGUCUCAGUUAUGCUCAUUGGAAUUCAGUAUCAAGAACAAAGGACCUUCAACAAUGGAGGGAUGAAGAGGAACAGAAGAAGGGACAAAUGUGAGUACAGAGAGUUCCUUGCAGAUUCCAGACCACCAUCUGAUUCACAACAAAGGGACCCUUCCUGAGAGAUAGCGUGCAGUUACCCACCGCACAUGCACAAAACUGCAUGGCUCUGCCACGGAGGAUGAGAAAUAACACCAGUGAACCUAGCUUCCCACUUUGUAUCUCCUUGGAAGACAGACUGAACGCAAAGCCCCCUAGGAAAGUACAUAAAUUUCCAGGGUCCAUUUAUGCCAGAUAUAAAGUGACGGGCAACAAAGUCAGAGUGUGAGUCAUAUAAAAGAAAUUCAGUUUCAUUCUGCUCUACAAGGAUCACAUGGGGACAAAAAAUAUUUACUGUUUUUUUUUUUCAGUCUCUUUAAUCUACAAAAAAAAAUUAUAAAAAGAACUUGUUUGCAACUAAUACAUGUACAUACAUAAUGUUUUGGGAAAGAAAAUAUGAUGAAAUGGAAAGAAAAAUAAAGAAUCAGAAAUAGAAAAAUUUUUCCACAAAAGAAAAACUACACAUCUGGAAAUAAUUAACAAUGAAGCAGUAUGUGAAAAUGGUUACGAUGGAAGACAACACCUAAGCACAAGAGCCUAAUUAAAUGGAAUGGGAAGUAUCCACACAUUGUAAGAUGCCUAUGCUGUCAUUCAAAACUGAGGUGAUGGCUGGGGAGAUAGCUCAGCGAGCAAAGUACUUGCUACACAAAUGUGGGGAUCUGAGUUUGAAUCCCCAGGAUCCACAUAAAGUAGUAAUGCAUGCCCGUAUUCCCAGUGUCCUUAUGAUGAGAACCCCCGGUGGAGAAUCCCCGGAAGCCUGCAGGCCUGGACUUUUGCAUUCACAAUGGCAAAUACAGCUGCUUCAAAUCAUGGAAGGCAAGAACCGACACUUAGGGUCAUCCUCUGGCCUCAACAUGUUCCCUGUGCCUACUGUGACAUAUGCACAGCCACAUCCUUGCUCUGCCCCCUUGCACGCAACUGAAGUAGCAUUUUAGGUAAUUAUAUAUGCAGAAUUUUUAAGACAAGUCAAAAUGGAUCCCAGCUCAGCUGCUGCUCAGAACCUGCUGGAAGCUUUUUGCAAAGAGAAGGCAACAGAGGAGGAUGCCUGAGUAGAGUACUCCUGUGACAGCGAUGUGGAAGCUGACAUUCAUGAGUGACUUUUUUUUUUUUUCCUUCUGGAAUAGUUCAGCUCUUUUUGUUUGUUUGUUUGUU